GCAGGGGCGGGUUUCACGUGCGGCUGACGGGAGACGGGAGGGGGCGAUGUUGUUACUAGACGUACCAGGAAAAAUAAUUUUGACCAGACUGAGGAAAAUACAGUAAAAUGCAGUGCUUGGAUCGAGACGAGAAUCCCCUUUUGCCAUAUUUGAGAAGAACGAGGACAGUUUUGUUUGUAAAAAUCCGUAUUCUUGGUGUACCGGCAGUAUCAGUGCCUUGGGUCAGCGCCUUUGCUCAGUCUGUCUCUCUCGCUGCCCUUUGCAUGCAAGUUGGGUGAGCGGGAGAGACGGUGCUGUGCAAAGCGACGCCCGAUUGGAAACACAAGUUUGCGGCCCACUUCCUCCGCUCCGAUCGUACAAGGUGGGCGGCCAGCGCCGUGGAUCGGAGGAGUAUACUAGCCCGCCAUGCAGGCGUGCGGGCUGGUUGCCUAACAAGCGCCCGGAGUCAAGGAGGCUCCACGCCACGGUUUUAAUAGCGGCUGGGAAGCCCGAUACAAGACGCAAAUAACCCAUUUCUGAUAUGUCCUGUAAAUCAAAGCGAAGUCGUAAAGUGGUAAAACAGAUGGGUUUCGUGUUGCCAUCGCUUCGACGAUCACUGCCCACACACACCACACGGAGGACGCGGCGCCGCUGGCGCGCCCUUUGUCUGCGGCGGGGCCUGUGGCGAGGCCUGCGGCGGGGGCCCCCGGGCUGGCGGGGGGCGGUGCGCAUAGAGGCCCCCCCGACCAGCACCCUGCGCUCGCCACGCGCAAGCCGCCCCACCCCUCCAGGCGCGCCCGCCCCGACCGCCACCCCCAGUCCGCGGCGGGUGGGCCGGGCCGAGGUCCUGGAGCGGGAGAAGCUUCGCUAGCGCCGCCCCGGCCCGCGAGCACAGCUCGCACAAAGCCCUCCGCUCUCCACUCUGCCGCGCACGUCCGCCCCGCACGCCCGCGCCGCAGCCCAGAGCUCCGCCCGCCCAAGCCGUCGCCAGAGAAGCCUCACCGAGCCCGACCCAGCGAGCCCCUCUGCCCUGCCCAGGACCUCCCGCAGGACGUCCAGGACACUCAGGAAUCAGGGUGCCGGUGGUACGCGCUGGGCCCCGGGUAGUUCAGAGGGAUCACCACGACGUUCCCGACGUCCACGUGUGACCCCAGCGCCCCCCACUGGCGCCGUCCGUCCGGUCCGCGGAACUUCGCUUUACUGGCGACGCCCGAUGCCCCCGACGACGCUGGCGACGUUCUUUGACCCUGCAGAGCCCGCGACUCAAGCAUGUGAAUAAUGCAGCCUAGCCGGGUCCAGACGGCCGUUGGCCCGAACAGAAGGCGCCCGGGUCGAUGGUGGCUGCGGCUUAGGAUUCUCGAGUCAGAAUUUUUUCAAAAAAAAAUUAAAACUUUUUCAGCAUUUUAUUUUGGAAAUUAAUGAACUAUUUUGCAAAUGAAUUU